UACGUAGGGGGCAAGCAUUGUCCGGAUUUAUUGGGCGUAAAGAGCUCGUAGGCGGUCUGUCGCGUCUGCUGUGAAAACUCGGGGCUUAACCCCGGGCCUGCAGUGGGUACGGGCAGACUAGAGUGCGGUAGGGGAGACUGGAAUUCCUGGUGUAGCGGUGAAAUGCGCAGAUAUCAGGAGGAACACCGGUGGCGAAGGCGGGUCUCUGGGCCGUAACUGACGCUGAGGAGCGAAAGCAUGGGGAGCAAACGGG
rnacentral:rRNA from 1 species